UCUGUUCCUUCAGGAGGAUAAGGGGCGGAGAUGCCGACCGGCCCCAGCGCGUUCCCACACGCCGGAGCAGCGUGGUGGCGGCGGCGGCGCCCUCGCACGCUACGUUGCCGCGGGAAGGAUAGGCGUCGCCGCGGCCCCUUUUUGGGGGCGGCUGCUUUGUUUGGAGGCGACGACGGCGAGACGAGAUGCCGCCAUCCUUCAGGAAUGAUGGACCUAGCAUGGAUGAGAGGGACAAGCACUAGAGCAUGAUCACCCAGGGAGAAGAUGGCAGCAAGCAUGAGAGGAUUGAAGAUGAUGCCGUAACGGAAGAUUUAAGAACUUUGAAGCCACCAUAAGGAGAGAUGAAGACGUGGGCGACAUAUAGAGUUUUCCAAUUUCUACUUUUGUCCACGUGAAAAUAUGGUGCUGCAUCACCUCAAGUUGGGUCAGGCCCAUGUAAACCGACCUAGGGUUCGGCCCACUUGCCAAGGCUGGCCGCAUACCCUCUAUAUAAACCUCUUCUAGGUCAUCGUUUAGGCUCGGAUUUUGUUUAGUUUAAGACUUAGCCACUGCUAAUAUUCACCAUAGGCACGAGAGUCAAAUCAACCUCCUGUACUACGCACUUGCAGAAUUCCACCUAUAAAGUUUCAUUUUUAUUCGCAAUAUCUUGAUUGCAUCUAUUGUUCUUGCUGGUUCUUCGGUUGCUUGCAGGGAUUGAUCCUUCGGGAUCAGGUUGAUCUAGCUCCGGCGUGGUCAAUAACCUCGGAAGUUGGUGUAGCGAUCGCUAAGGCGCAACGUCUCGCACAUUUGUAGUCUGUUCGUCAACGUCGACCUCCACCCAAAUCGAUAGCUAUCUCCUCAUCGAAAGAUCGGACCGCCUUUACCCUAUCAGUACCAAACAACGUUCUAAACUUCAUCGGUUCUUUUGUUGACUCAGUUAUGAUCUGGACCAAACAACAUUCAUCCUUUUAUCGAUGCAGCCAUUCUUCAGGUCUUUUUUCUGCAGGAGUUCCGUGAUAAUGGUGACUUGAUCUUCUGCAAAUAGUAGGCUUGGCAGCUGGUAAUGCAGGUUACUCUUGCCGCAUCAAAGUUCUCCUUUUUUUUACUGCAUCUUCUUCACAAUUCACAUAAUAUCAAGAUUUCUGUUAGGAUAGUAAUUGACCUUUAAAUGUUACUCCUAAGUUCCUCAGAUGUUGUGGCGGUACAAGCAUUGGUGACUCUUGCAUGAAAAAAUGACAUCUUCUCCGAGACAGAGGUGGAUCAAGGACCAAUCACAUUAAGCACAAACUACAUGCUUUCCAUGAGGCAAUUACCUAAGCACAUAAAUAGAUAGCGGGAUGAAAGUCAAAUUCAAGUUCGGUGACACCCCCGUGGAUUUUGUGCGAAGAAUUAGGGCUGGUAGUCUACUAGUUGCACUGUCGCUAACGUGGGCCUGGCAAUGGUGGGGGCGCAAAUGGAUGGAAGAGAAAAACGAGUUGGGCUGGAUUGGUAAAGAGGUUUGGAUCGGUGUGGUUUGGUUUGUACCCACAACGACUGAAUUGGGCGUGUUACUAAUGGGCUCAACCCAAUUAGCCUAAUGGGCUCAACCCAAUUAGGGCUAGGUUUCACCCCGUGGAGUAACCACGCGUCCCCGACGGCCCGACCCUGACACCGCGACUAGAUUCGCUCCGCUGUCGCCUGCCUCCUCUGGCGCUGCUCUGCCGCCCCUGCCUCCUCCGGCGCUCCGCCGCCCCUGCCUCAUCCUCGUCGUCCCGCAUCGUCUUCCACCCUACCUGCUCGCCGCCGGUGUGCCCAAGCCCCAAGGCCCCCAGUCUCUCCUCCCCUCACCGGAGUCCACCACAACAUUCUCUUCGUCCAUCUCAGUCGAAACUUGGAGAUCUUGGAGAUGAUCAUAAGGAAGAGUGUCACUGAUUGGAAAUCGGGUUAUAAAAUGGUGAUGGUGCUUUGUUAGCGGCCGCUGAUCAUGUUUGUCUUGAAUCUCUUUGCAAGGACAGUUAGUUUAAUCAGGCAUGUUACCUCAAAUUUGGUCCACAGUCUGUAAAAUUUUAUGUACUGUUGUUCAGACUUCGGAGUGCCAAGCGAAAUUUUGGUGGCUAUUUAUCACCCUUUAUAUGUUAUUUGGCGGACAGUAUUUGUCCUGAGGUACUACCUUGUACAAGUUGAAUCUGAAAUCAAAUCAGAUGGUGGCAAUGGUAUUACGUAGAGAGGGUUUCUAAAUUUAA